rnacentral:rRNA from 1 species
GAUGAACGCUGGCGGCGUGCUUAACACAUGCAAGUCGAACGAGAAAUGUAGACGGAAACCUUCGGGCGGAAGCCUUCAUUUCGAGUGGCGGACGGGUGAGUAACGCGUGGGUAACCUGCCUCAUACAGGGGGAUAACAGUUGGAAACGACUGUUAAUACCGCAUAAGACCACAGCAUCGCAUGAUGCGGGGGUAAAAACUCCGGUGGUAUGAGAUGGACCCGCGUUCGAUUAGCCAGUUGGCGGGGUAACGGCCCACCAAAGCGACGAUCGAUAGCCGAUCUGAGAGGAUGACCGGCCACAUUGGGACUGAGACACGUCCCAAACUCCUACGGGAGGCAGCAGUGGGGAAUAUUGCACAAUGGGGAAACCCUGAUGCAGCGACGCCGCGUGAGUGAAGAAGUACUUCGGUAUGUAAAGCUCUAUCAGCAGGGAAGAAAAUGACGGUACCUGAGUAAGAAGCCCCGGCUAACUACGUG